rnacentral:misc_RNA from 1 species
GAUGAAGAACGUAGCGAAAUGCGAUAAGUAAUGUGAAUUGCAGAAUUCAGUGAAUCACCGAGUCUUUGAACGCACAUUGCGCCCCCUGGUAUUCCGGGGGGCAUGCCUGUCCGAGCGUCAUUGCUGCCCUCAAGCACGGCUUGUGUGUUGGGCUCCGUCCCCCCGGGGACGGGUCCGAAAGGCAGCGGCGGCACCGAGUCCGGUCCUCGAGCGUAUGGGGCUUUGUCACCCGCUCUGUAGGCCCGGCCGGCGCCAGCCGACAACCAAUCAUCCUUUUUUCAGGUUGACCUCGGAUCAGGUAGGGAUACCCGCUGAACUUAAGCAUAUCAAUAAGCGGAGGA